AAUCUUCCGCAAUGGGCGAAAGCCUGACGGAGCAAUGCCGCGUGGUGGAUGAAGGCCUUCGGGUUGUAAACACCUGUCAGUAGGAAGGAAAUUUUGACCGAUCUACAGAGGAAGUCCGGGCUAAGUACGUGCCAGCAGCCGCGGUAAUACGUACCGGACAGACGUUAUUCGGAAUCACUGGGCUUAAAGAGUACGUAGGCUGCCUUGAAGGUGAGAUGUGAAAUCCCAUGGCCUAACCAUGGAACUGCAUUUCAAACCACAAGGCUUGAGGGAGACAGGGGUAAGCGGAACUGAUGGUGGAGCGGUGAAAUGCGUUGAUAUCAUCAGGAACACCGGUGGCGAAGGCAGCUUACUGGGUCUCCUCUGACGCUGAGGUACGAAAGCUAGGGUAGCGAACGGGAUUAGAUACCCCGGUAGUCCUAGCUGUA
rnacentral:rRNA from 1 species